rnacentral:rRNA from 1 species
GUAUUCCUUCAGUUCGGCUGGACCGGUGACAGUUGCUGCAUGGCUGUCGUCAGCUCGUGUCGUGUGAUGUUGGGUUAAGUCCCGCUACGAGCGCUACCCUCGCCAUUAGUUGCCAGCAUUUAGUUGGGCACUCUUAUGGGACUGCCGGUGAUAAGCCGGAGGAAGGUGGGGAUGACGUCAAGUCCUCAUGGCCCUUAUGGGCUGGGCUACACACGUGUUACAAUGGCGGCGACAGAGGGUUGCGAGCUCGCGAGGGCAAGCUAAUCCCCAUAAAGCCGUCUCAGUUCGGAUUGUUCUCUGCAACUCGAGAGCAUGAAGGUGGAAUCGCUAGUAAUCGCAGAUCAGCAUGCUGCGGUGAAUACGUUCCCGGGCCUUGUACACACCGCCCGUCACACCAUGGGAGUUGGUUCUACCCGAUAGCUGGUGCGCUAACCUUUUAGGAGGCAGCCAACCACGGUAGGAUUAGCGACUGGGGUGAAGUCGUUACAAGGUAACCAAGGGCGAUUCCAGCGCACUGCGGCCG